rnacentral:lncRNA from 1 species
GUUGCCAGGGUCGUCGUCCUCCGAUCUCCUUCGCCCGAGCCGAUCUCUCCACCGAUUUGCUCCGACCGUGCCGAUCUCCUCCGUGCCACCGUCGGUACUCCCUCACCAAUCUGCUCCGCCCACGCCGAUCUCUCCCAUCCGCGUCGCCAGCGAGGGCCACCCCACCAAUCUCCUCCGUGCCACCUCUGGAACACCCGCGCCCGCGUCGCCGACGACCUAGAAGUAAUUUCCUUCCAUCAUGAUUACCCCUUACAAAUAGUGCAAAUGUCUCCUGCAUGGAUCAAUCUUCGCUAA